CAGGAGGUGAGUGUGGCACAGAGGGAUGGAUGCUGCUUUUCACUCCCUGGAAAGAUGUGGCGUGCCCAAGGCCGUGCUGACAGGAAUGCUAAUGGGAAUAAGAGCACCCAGCUUCUUCCAGUGGGGAGUCACUUGGUGGAUUUAGGAAGAGGUGUCCUGGCUGGCUGAUAGCUACUAGAGCUCCAAGAGAAGGAAGAAGAUAUUUCCUCUGCCAGUGGAGAGCUUCUGUGAAUGGAGCAAGUAACCUGAGCUGGGAGGAGACAGUGCUGCAGGGCUUAGGAGAAGCUGAGUUUUUUGGUGCUAGCCAGGUUUGUUCAAACUCAAAAAAAUGUCACUCAAAAAAACCCUCUUCAUGGAUUUCCCUACUACCAAGCCAGCUAACAAACCCCAGUCCGUACAUGGUUAAAUAAACAUGGUUAAAGAUACCUCCA